AACAGUGUCAUUUUCAUACUUUCAUCACUUUCAUGUAUGCAUGAAAGAGAUUUAAAAUAAAAAUAAAUUUUCCUCAAAAUAUUUACAUAAUCAUUAUAUUUGUCUAGGUGUAAGAUCUCCCUCUCGUGUCAGUCAACAGCAGAACAGCAGUCAGACAUCAGAGCAGAACCAGAGUGAUGCGAGAAACAACACACUGCUGUCUGGAACUGCUCAUAUUUAUGAUUCUGUUGAUGCAACCAUAAAGAAAGACAUAAGUACAGACAGUAAAAGUGGGCCUAAUGAUCUCACCUAUGCUGAGAUUGAACACAAAUCUACUAAAAAACAGAUGAAAAAGAAAGAAAACAAUGGUAAA